CUCCUUCUCUGUCUGCGAGCAUUUUUUCUUUGUUUAGCCUUUGUUUUUACAGCACACACAUUCCCCGUACAGAAUAAUUGGUUUUGCUUAAGUGCUGGUUCCUUAUUAAUCACAAUAGCUGGGAAUCAUGCUGGCAAAGCCUCAGGAAGGGAGAAACAGACUAUUGUGAAAUUCCUAAAAACUCCCACCGAAGCUUUGCAAACUCAAAAG